rnacentral:rRNA from 1 species
UACGUAGGGUGCGAGCGUUAAUCGGAAUUACUGGGCGUAAAGCGUGCGCAGGCGGUCUGUUAAGACAGGUGUGAAAUCCCCGGGCUUAACCUGGGAACUGCGCUUGUGACUGGCAGGCUAGAGUACGGCAGAGGGGGGUGGAAUUCCUGGUGUAGCAGUGAAAUGCGUAGAUAUCAGGAGGAACACCGAUGGCGAAGGCAGCCCCCUGGGCCUGUACUGACGCUCAUGCACGAAAGCGUGGGGAGCAAAC